CCCCUCUCAGGAUGGCACCUGGAGAGUUUCCAGUUCUCUAUCAGUCUCAGCUACGGGAGGAAGAGAGGCAGAGGUAUAUCCAUUCCAUUCCUAGCGUGGCCAGUGGCUAGCGAGUGGAAGGCCAUCUGCUAUAAGU
rnacentral:snoRNA from 1 species